rnacentral:rRNA from 1 species
UACGGAGGGUGCAAGCGUUAUCCGGAUUUACUGGGUUUAAAGGGUGCGCAGGCGGAUAUGUAAGUCAGUGGUGAAAUCUCUAGGCUUAACCUGGAAAUUGCCGUUGAUACUAUAUAUCUUGAAUGCUGUGGAGGUAAGCGGAAUAUGUCAUGUAGCGGUGAAAUGCUUAGAUAUGACAUAGAACACCUAUUGCGAAGGCAGCUUACUACGCAGAUAUUGACGCUCAUACACGAAAGCGUGGGGAUCAAACAGG